UGAUUUUAUUUUGCUGUCCAGACUUCAGGCUUUGAUAUUUAUCUUAAUACUCAGAGGAUAAAUAACAGCAGUAUAGUCAAUAGACUGUCUUCUGAAAAAUAAAUGCAAUUCUGCAUUUAUUCUGGGGAUUUUCUGUAUAAAAUGGGUUAAUUUUGUACCAUAGAACAAAAAGUAUAUAAUAUCUCAGUAUUUUGCAAGUCUGUGGUAUCACACACACACACACAAAUAAAUAAUCCAUUUAAUCAGAUUGUGGAACCUAUGGGAAAAAAAAUUACAUAAAACUAUACAGUCUGCAUAUCCCCAUAAAACAGUCAGUCAAAUGCAAAUUCCAACUCAAGCAGUCUAUAAAUCAAUUGCCAGAUGCUAGGAGGAUAAACUAAAGGAAAGUUCACUUUAAAAUCUACUUAAUUCUUGCACUGAUUCUAUAAGCAUCUGCUAUCGGGUAGUGAUAGGACAUUAGAUCAAUCAGAUCUUUAGCCAGCAUCAGCAUGACUGCUCUGUGUACAAACACAAAGCACUGCUAAGUGAAUUGAGAGAUAACUGCAUUGCAAUAAGCAUGAGGUCUUUCCUAGCAGACAAAAUGGAAUUGCAUUGCUGCUAACUGAGUGGACAAAUGGGUUAAGACUGGAUCCCAAGGAAGGUCUGCAUCUGGGGUACUGCGAUUCUUGUAAUUUAAAUUACACAAAGUGCAGCAUGGAUCAUUUCAUCUUUGGAAGAUAAGAUUUUUAAUCUAUGGAGGUCAGAUGUUUUCAGAAAAUAGAGUAACUUAAACCUUUAAAAAUGUGAAAUAUUCAAAAUAUUAAAUCUGAACACACUUUUAGUCCAGAAAUACAUUAAAUUGUAAGCUAAAAGUAAGCCUCAGUGCUCUAGGGUUUUCCCUCAUCCGUGGGUUUAGAACAAACUUUUCCAAAGAACAAGGAAAUGUUUGUCACAAGAUAUUAGUUUGAGACUUUUUACACCUACCACAGACAUUCAUAUAAGAAAAUGCUGAAUAUUCCUUAGAAAAAAAGGAGAUGCUAUCUGCAAUCAAGGCCAUGCAUUACAUCCUUGUUUAGGAACAGGUGAAGAAACUAAUUUUAAAUAUUCUUUGUGACAUGGCAAUCCAUACAAAGGAGAAAAGAUAGAGCAGCUUUUCAAGGUUAUUGAAAUAAAUUAGAGUAACAAACUGGUUCUGAAGCAGUCUGGUUCCAUGCAAGCAUCCAUACAGGCCUUAAUAAGGAUCUCUAGUUCCUUUAGGAGUGAAAAAUUUCUGUGUUUUUUGCUUAGUUUUUAAGUCUGCAGAAUUGUUUUGCAUCAUGAAUGGGAAAGAGAGAGUCCACCUGCUAAAAUUAUUCUGUUACACUGAUACUUUUUUUCAGCAAUAUUUUCAACAACAAAUGUCUUCUCCGUAUGCAUCCGUACAGGCACAUAUAAGCAUGUAAUAUCUGACAUGAAUAACAGUAACGAAGAUCGAUGUUCCUUAUGUCCUGUGAUCAGCAUUGAUCACUGCAGUGACUGUAAAUAAGAUAUUUAUUCUUAUUCCUUAAUGUACCUAAGUAAAGACCUUUGCUCACUGUUAUAUGAAGCUUUGCUUUCAGUGCUUUCCAGCUUAGUUCUGUUUAAUCAAUUGACAUAUUCUUAAUAAAAUAACAUGGAUUUAACAGACAAGAUCUGAUAUUAUACCUUAUCAGUGUUCAAUAUUAAAUCCACAUUUAGGAAAAGAUGCUGCUUACUUGUUAAAAGUAACCUGAAAGUGCUUUACAGUUCAUUUCCUUUCUGUAAAUCCUUUCUCCAGUCCUUCUAUAUUUUGAGUCUUUAGUUCAAUUACUUUACCUCCACUUUAAAAAAAUAAAAAAAAUUUAAAAAUCUGAGCAUGUUCAUGGAGAUGAUAAAGAUUCUGGAAGGCUUUGUUGCAGCCUUUCAGUAUUUAAGGGGAACUUACAAGAGUGAGAGCAAGGGAUAAUGAUUGUAAAAUAAAAUAGGAGAGACAUCUCCCUAAAUCACAAUGUUAUACAGGAAAAUCAUACAUCUUUGUUAACAAAACCAUAAAAAAGAUAUUUUUUGUAUGACAGAAAGUUCCUCUCUUAUUGCCUACAGGCUGAGUGAUAAGACUGUAUCAUAGAUUACAGAUUCUGAUGGCAACUUGUAUCAUAUUUGAGUAAAAGCAUUCACUGUUGAGUAUUUACUUGUAUUUACAUUAUUAGAAGAUUUAAUGUUCAUCUAGAGAGCUGAAAGAUGUCUGGCUUUAACAGUAGUAAUUCACUACUAUAAAUAUCAGAUCUAUCAGAUCCCUAAAGGCUUGGAGAGCAUCUGAACAUCUCUGUCCUGUAAUUCAGUGACCUGAUUAAUUUAUCCUGUUUAGCAUUAGAUUUAUUUAUUUAUUUAUUGUCGGAAGGUACUUCAUGUCUUUAUGUGGAUAAUAUCACAAUUACCCACACUAAAAAAAAUAUUGGCUAUUUAACUUGUAAGUUGUACAGACAAGAAGAAUUUCCAAACCUUAUAGUUAAUUUUAAUAAAUAAAAGUCAUUAAGG
ensembl:lncRNA